rnacentral:piRNA from 1 species
UGAGAGCUGAGCAGGUGUACCAGGA